rnacentral:misc_RNA from 1 species
GAACGCACAUUGCGCCCCUUGGUAUUCCGAGGGGCAUGCCUGUUCGAGCGUCAUUACACCACUCAAGCUAUGCUUGGUAUUGGGCGUCGUCCUUAGUUGGGCGCGCCUUAAAGACCUCGGCGAGGCCUCACCGGCUUUAGGCGUAGUAGAAUUUAUUCGAACGUCUGUCAAUGGAGAGGACUUCUGCCGACUGAAACCUUUAUUUUUUUACAGGUUGACCUCGGAUCAGGUAGGGAUACCCGCUGAACUUAAG